GCAAGUCGAGCGAGAACGGCUCCUUCGGGAGGAUAGUAAAGCGGCGAACGGGUGAGGAACACGUUAGCGAUCUACCCGGCGGCGGGGGAUAACUAAGGGAAACUUGAGCUAAUACCGCAUACAUCACUGGCUUGGAAGCUGGAUGUGAAAGCUGGCCUCUCGAAGAAGCUGGCACCGUCGGAUGAGCUCGCGGCCUAUCAGCUAGUUGGUGGGGUAACGGCCUACCAAGGCGAUGACGGGUAGCUGGCGUGAGAGCGUGGGC
rnacentral:rRNA from 1 species